GGGGAGCAAUCCCCCGGUAGGGUGGCAAACGGGUGAGUAAUACAUGGGUGAUCUACCUUAGGGAUGGGGAUAUCCUUCCGAAAGGAGGGGCAAUACCGAAUAUUGUCCGGAGCCGUGAAGGGUUCCGGGGAAAGGGAGGCCUCUGAUACAAGCUUUCGCCUUAAGAUGAGCCCAUGGCCCAUCAGCUAGUUGGUAGGGUAAAGGCCUACCAAGGCUACGACGGGUCGCUGGUCUGAGAGGACGACCAGCCACACUGGCACUGAGAUACGGGCCAGACUCCUACGGGAGGCAGCAGUGAGGAAUAUUGCGCAAUGGGGGAAACCCUGACGCAGCAACGCCGCGUGUGGGAAGAAGGCCUUCGGGUCGUAAACCACUUUUGCACGGGACGAAAAAGGGAU
rnacentral:rRNA from 1 species